GACGUAGGGCGCGAGCGUUGUCCGGAUUUAUUGGGCGUAAAGAGCUCGUAGGCGGCUUGUCGCGUCGAAUGUGAAAACUCGGGGCUCAACUCCGAGCUUGCAUUCGAUACGGGCAGGCUAGAGUUCGGUAGGGGAGGACUGGAAUUCCUGGUGUAGCGGUGGAAUGCGCAGAUAUCAGGAGGAACACCGAUGGCGAAGGCAGGUCUCUGGGCCAUUACUGACACUGAGACGCGAAAGCGUGGGGAGCAAACAGG
rnacentral:rRNA from 1 species